UACGUAGGUGGCAAGUGUUGUCCGGAUUUACUGGGCGUAAAGAGCGCGCAGGCGGUCGGAUAAGUCGAAUGUGAAAGCCCCCGGCUCAACUGGGGAGGGUCAUUCGAUACUGUUCGACUCGAAGGCAGGAGAGGGAAGUGGAAUUCCCCGGUGUAGUGGUGAAAUGCGUAGAUAUCGGGAGGAACACCAGUGGCGAAGGCGACUUCCUGGCCUGUUCUUGACGCUUGAGGCGCGAAAGCUAGGGGAGCAAACGGG
rnacentral:rRNA from 1 species